UCACCUGUCUGCCCCUCGUAUCCUGUCACCUGUCACCUGUCUGCCCCUCGUAUCUUGUCACCUGUCUGCCCCUCGUAUCCUGUCACCUGUCUGCCACUCGUAUCCUGUCACCUGUCACCUGUCACCUGUCAGCCACUCAUAUCCAGUCACCUGUCUGCCCCUCGUAUCCUGUCACCUGUCAGCCACUUGUAUCCAGUCACCUGUCAGCCACUCAUAUCCAGUCACCUGUCACCUGUCAGCCACUCAUAUCCAGUCACCUGUCUGCCCCUCGUAUCCUGUCACCUGUCACCUGUCUGCCCCUCGUAUCCUGUCACCUGUCACCUGUCUGCCACUCGUAUCCAGUCACCUGUCAGCCACUCGUAUCCUGUCACCUGUCAGCCACUCAUAUCCAGUCACCUGUCAGCCACUCAUAUCCAGUCACCUGUCAGCCACUCAUAUCCAGUCACCUGUCAGCCACUCAUAUCCAGUCACCUGUCAGCCACUCAUAUCCAGUCACCUGUCACCUGUCAGCCACUCAUAUCCAGUCACCUGUCACCUGUCAGCCACUCAUAUCCAGUCACCUGUCAGCCACUCAUAUCCAGUCACCUGUCAGCCACUCAUAUCCAGUCACCAGUCACCUGUCAGCCACUCAUAUCCAGCCACCUGUCAGCCACUCAUAUCCAGUCACCUGUCAGCCACUCAUAUCCAGUCACCUGUCACCUGUCUGCCACUCGUAUCCAGUCACCUGUCUGCCACUCAUAUCCAGUCACCUGUCACCUGUCUGCCACUCAUAUCCAGUCACCUGUCAGCCACUCAUAUCCAGUCACCUGUCAGCCACUCAUAUCCAGUCACCUGUCACCUGUCUGCCACUCGUAUCCAGUCACCUGUCUGCCACUCAUAUCCAGUCACCUGUCACCUGUCUGCCACUCAUACCUUCCUACCUUCCUCUCACUCAGCCCGUCGCCAUCAUAAAUCCAAAGGAAAUAUAUUUAUAACAAGUUUGCUUGUGCUUAAAAUGUCCUAAAUCUCAAAUCUGACAUUCGUAUAGUAAAUUGUGUCUAGGCUACGUGUCCUACCCUCCCCAACCAUUAUCUCUCCCGACCAAUGACGGAACUCAACUUAGCUUGGAUUAGUCAAGUCAUGCACAGCGUGUAAUAUAUAUAUAUGUGUGUGUGUGUGUGUGUGUGUGUGUGUGUGUGUGUGUGUGUGUGUGUGUGUGUGUGUGUUAGCCCAGGGGUUCUCAAACAUUUUGGGGCCGGG
rnacentral:lncRNA from 1 species